AGCAGCCGCGGUAAUUCCAGCUCCAAUAGCGUAUAUUAAAGUUGUUGCAGUUAAAAAAGCUCGUAGUUGAAUUUCGGGAUCAAUAUGUUGGUCGUGCCUCGGUACGUACUAGCUUAUUGGUUUCUCCUUUCUGAAGAACCAUGAUGUCAUUUAUUUGGUGUCGUGGGGAAUCAGGACUGUUACUUUGAAAAAAUUAGAGUGUUUAAAGCAGGCUCACGCUUGAAUACAUUAGCAUGGAAUAAUGAAAUAGGACGUUUGAUUCUAUUUUGUUGGUUUCUAGGAUCGACGUAAUGAUUAAUAGGGAUAGUUGGGGGCAUUAGUAUUCAAUUGUCAGAGGUGAAAUUCUUGGAUUUAUUGAAGACUAACUACUGCGAAAGCAUUUGCCAAGGAUGUUUUCAUUAAUCAAGAACGAAAGUUAGGGGAUCGAAGACGAUCAGAUACCGUCGUAGUCUUAACCAUAAACUAUGCCGACUAGGGAUCGGAUGAUGUUAAUUUUUAAUGUACUCAUUCGGCGCCUUAA
rnacentral:misc_RNA from 1 species